rnacentral:rRNA from 1 species
AUUGAACGCUGGCGGCAUGCCUUACACAUGCAAGUCGAACGGUAACAGGUCUUCGGAUGCUGACGAGUGGCGAACGGGUGAGUAAUACAUCGGAACGUGCCUAGUAGUGGGGGAUAACUACUCGAAAGAGUGGCUAAUACCGCAUGAGAUCUACGGAUGAAAGCAGGGGAUCGCAAGACCUUGUGCUACUAGAGCGGCCGAUGGCAGAUUAGGUAGUGGGUGGGAUAAAAGCUUACCAAGCCGACGAUCUGUAGCUGGCCUGAGAGGACGAUCCGCCCCACUGGGACUGAGACCCGGCCCAGACUCCUACGGGAGGCAGCAGUGGGGCAUUUUGGACGAUGGGCGCAAGCCUGAUCCAGCAAUGCCGCGUGCGGGAUGAAGGCCUUCGGGUUGUAAACUGCUUUUGUACGGAGCGAAACGGCUUCCACUAAUACUGGGGGCUAAUGCCGGUACCGUAAGCAUAAGCACCGGCUAACUACGUGCCAGCCGCCGCGGUAACAC